CAAAAAGAUGCAAAAACGGACAAGAAAAUUUCCUGCCAUGUCAUACUUUCUCUGUAUAAGAUAACGUUUUAGUUCAAUAAAGAAUCCAAAUAUUCGAACAAGUGCACAAGUGAAAAACAAAAACUGCAAUUCCGACCCACAUGAGAAUAUGAACACUUCGAAAAACAGGUGUUGAAAAUUCCAUUCAUCUUACAAAUACCUGAACCGACAAAAGAAUGAUAUGUGUAGGAAUAAUAAGAUCUUUCAAUUUUUUUUUUAUUCUAUUUUCUUUUCCUUUGAAGAAUGAAUACAAAGCACAAAAUGAACCUUUCCACACAAAUCAUUGUUAUUAUGAAUAUCAAUUUACAGCAUGUACAUGAGAAUUAGAAGGGGAGAAGCCAGGCAUUUGCACUGGCAGGGAUCUUGUAUUAACCAGUCAGUAUCAUUCCCUAUGCGAUGUUGAGAGGAUAUUACCUGCAACUUUUUAUCAAUCAGUAUCUAACCCUCCAUUAGGCUGGCAUUUGACCAACAUUUGCACAAUAAAUUGAACGAAAUGGAAGGUGUAAUUAAUUCAGCAGAACUUGAAAAUGGGAAGACAGACAUCAACCUGCAAGCCACAAAAAUUGAAAGGAAAUUUCAAUGGAUUGUAGUGAACAAAGAAUCUAACUACUAAUUCUCAAUCUUUGCAACAUAGUUAACUCAUAAGAAUUCUUGAAUGCACCAAAUAAUAAAUGUAAGUAGGAAUAUAUCAUCCUAAAAUACAUAUUUAAAAACACUUGUAUAAAUUAGAAAAUAAUCUUAUCCCUUAGAAGAUUAUGCACUUGACCUCUUAAAAAUUUCCCUCUUAAAAAUUUCCCUCUUUCAUAUAAAUGUAAUUAUGACCAAACACACUGGUUUGACCCUGUCUAAACUAUGUAUAAAAGGAAAAAGUAAUCCUAAAUCAGAUCUACUUCCAAGAUUGAAUUAUUAAAUUCUAGUCUAUCAAAGUUUCUUCUAUAAAUGUUGAUUGAUGGGACCUUCUUUGAAUGUGCAAUGUAAUAUAUAGUGACAAAGUUCAGCAAUGACAUGGACUGCCAGAAUCUAAAAUUUCUUGUGAUACUUCAUGAGAUAACAAGAAUAUUUUCAUAUACAAUACUUCCAGCAUUCUACCUUCCUCAGAGAAAGCAAAAACACCUCCAAGCAUAUCAUCAUUGUCACCAUCUUCUUCAGAUUUUUCUAAAUCACAAGGACUGAUGUUGUUGUCCACAAAACUGACUUCCGCCGAUUCAUGAUAUUCACUUGAGGACUUCACUUUACAGUAACCCUCUUGAAAAAACUGCUUAAAAUCCAAUGAAUCAUUAGUUGGCCCUUCAUCUAUAAUGUUCAUACUCAAGUCAGAACGGUUGGAGCUUGUGUUUGAAGCUUCACUUGUCACAACACUGUUUGAUGACUGAAUUUUUGCAAUUGUUCUUCCAGCAGAAGGAAAGCCAUUCGUUACAGAUGCUACAUUACUAUCCAUAGAAUUACUAUCCUCAGGGGAUAUACCCAUUUGAGAUUGUUCAAAAGAAAUUGAAUUGCUAUCUUGGUUAAUAGAACUUUUAUACUGGAUGGGCAAUGCCGAAACGGAAAUCUCUCCUUUGCUAACAGUAUUAUUACUAGAUUGGAGAAUGAGUGGAUAAAACUUUGUUGAUGAUCCACCAUCAGAAUUUGCAACUGAGCCACUUGAAACUGACUCAGAGUGGGAAAUAACAGCAUCUUCUGAGUCUUUAACUUCUUGAGAACCAGCAGAUGAAGGUGAGUAUCUUUCACUGCUAUGGCCCCUGUGAUUCCAAGUAGAGAAAGUUCUGUGGAAAUGGUCAAAAACAGGUAAUAAAUCCUUCCGCCUAAUUUCAACCUCUUGAAUGGGAACCUUCUCUACUUCAAUCUCUCCACCAGCAUGAUCUCCAAUGACAUUCUGUUCUGCAGCUUCAAGAUGAUUUAUCUCGCAGAAAUACAUCUUAGAUUUCUGCCAAAGUGGCAUCCUCCAUGAGCUCAUCUGUACCUCUGCAUUGGAAAGAUACAAGUGAGAUGGAUCAUGGGACUUUAAUGAUUCCACAUGCUCACUAUCAUUAUCUUCGCAAUCAGAAGUUUCCAUGGACGUGUUUGUAGUUUCUUGCCUGCCUAGAGUAAUUCCAGAUAUACAUUCCUCUCUUUCCGACCAAUCUGCUCUUCGGCAAACAUCCCACCACUGAACAGAUUCAACAUUCACUCGUAAUUCCUCAUUUUGUAUCUGCACCGAAGAACCUUGUCCAAUUCUUGAAGAAACUUCACUCGACUCUCCCCCUCCUGAUGACAGCAAUUUGUAUUGAACUAGAUGGCCACAAGGAGUGUAAACCAAUAGGUGGUCCAAAGCAUUAACAUUUUUCAAGUGAGAAUGUUGUAAAUCUCGAGCCACACAUCAUUGAAAAACAACAAUAAAAA
rnacentral:misc_RNA from 1 species